rnacentral:rRNA from 1 species
UACGUAGGUGACCAGCGUUGUCCGGAUUUACUGGGCGUAAAGAGCGCGCAGGCGGUCGUUCAAGUCGAGUGUGAAAGCCCCCGGCUCAACUGGGGAGGGUCAUUCGAUACUGAUCGACUGGAAGGCAGGAGAGGGAAGCGGAAUUCCCGGUGUAGUGGUGAAAUGCGUAGAUAUCUGGAGGAACACCGGUGGCGAAGGCGGCAUCCUGGACCGACACUGACGCUGAGGAGCGAAAGCCAGGGGAGCAAACGGG